rnacentral:misc_RNA from 1 species
UCAAACUUGGUCAUUUAGAGGAAGUAAAAGUCGUAACAAGGUUUCCGUAGGUGAACCUGCGGAAGGAUCAUUAUUGAAUGUCCUUGAUGGGUUGUUGCUGGCUCCUCUGGGGCAUGUGCACACCUGUCUUGACCCCCAUUCAUCCACCUGUGCACCUUUUGUAGUCUUCUUCUGGGGGCUGAGUAGUGGUAGUCAGUUGAAAGACUGGAUCUGAGGCUUGCCCAGUACCAAUUGAGUACUAUGGGCUUUUCUCUCGACCAUGAACCUCUCCCUCAAAGGGCUAUGUCUUUUAUCACAAACUAGUAGUAUGUCAGCAGAAUGUAUUCAAUGGGUCAUUGUGCCUAUAAAACACAUAUACAACUUUCAGCAACGGAUCUCUUGGCUCUCGCAUCGAUGAAGAACGCAGC